AUACCAUCUCGUCCUUUUGCCUGAGAUCAAGUGUGAUAUAUGUUCUUAUCUAUUUAAGAUCUGAGACGUAGGCCAUUUGUUCACAUGAUAUGAAAUGAGUUUUUCUCUGGGAAGGGUCCACCACAGCUUCCUGUUGGGGCUCCCAGACCUUGUCUCUAUGUCACACCCU